rnacentral:miRNA from 1 species
GAACUCACUUUGUAGCCCAGGCUGGCCUUGAACUCACUUUGUAGCCCAGGCUGGCCUUGAACUCACAAAGAUCCUCCUGCCUCAGCCUCCCGAGUGCUGGGAUUACAGGCGUGCCCCACCAUGCCCG